rnacentral:rRNA from 1 species
GACGAACGCUGGCGGCGUGCUUAACACAUGCAAGUCGAACGGAAAGGCCCUGCUUUUGCGGGGUGCUCGAGUGGCGAACGGGUGAGUAACACGUGAGUAACCUGCCCUUGACUUUGGGAUAACUUCAGGAAACUGGGGCUAAUACCGGAUAGGAGCUCCUGCUGCAUGGUGGGGGUUGGAAAGUUUCGGCGGUUGGGGCUGGACUCGCGGCUUAUCAGCUUGUUGGUGGGGUAGUGGCUUACCAAGCCUUUGACGGGUAGCCGGCCUGAGAGGGUGAACGGCCACAUUGCGACUGAGGUACGGCCCAGACUCCUACGGGAGGCAGCAGUGGGGAAUAUUGCACAAUGGGCGGAAGCCAGAUGCAGCAACGCCGCGUGCGUGAUGACGGCCUUCGGGUUGUAAACAGCUUUCUACUGUGACGAAGCGUGAGUGACGGUAAUGAGUAAAGAAGCACCGGCUAACUACGUG